rnacentral:rRNA from 1 species
ACCGACACAGGUAGGUGAGGAGAGAAUCCUAAGGCCGGCGGAAGAAUUACAGUUAAGGAACUCGGCAAAUUGACCCCGUAAGUUCGCGAGAAGGGGUGCCUACGAGAGUAGGCCGCAGAGAAUAGGCCCAAGCAACUGUUUAGCAAAAACACAGGUCUCUGCUAAAGCGUAAGCUGAUGUAUAGGGGCUGACGCCUGCCCGGUGCUGGAAGGUUAAGGGGAACACUUAGCGCAAGCGAAGGUGUGAACUUAAGCCCCAGUAAACGGCGGCCGUAACUAUAACGGUCCUAAGGUAGCGAAAUUCCUUGUCAGGUAAGUUCUGACCCGCACGAAUGGCGUAAUGACUUGGGCACUGUCUCAACUGUAAAUCCGGCGAAGUUGUAGUGCGAGUGAAGAUGCUCGCUACCCGCGAUUGGACGGAAAGACCCCGUAGAGCUUUACUGUAGCUUAGCAUUGAGUUUUGGUAUUGUCUGUACAGGAUAGGUGGGAGACUAGGAAACCAGGGCGUCAGCCUUGGUGGAGUCAACCUUGGGAUACCACCCUGACAGUACUGAAAUUCUAACUGGCGGCCAUGAAUCUGGUCACAGGACAUUGUUAGGUGGGCAGUUUGACUGGGGCGGUCGCCUCCUAAAAAGUAACGGAGGCGCCCAAAGGUUCCCUCAGAACGGUCGGAAAUCGUUCGAAGAGUGCAAAGGCAGAAGGGAGCCUGACUGCGACACCCACAAGUGGAGCAGGGACGAAAGUCGGGCUUAGUGAUCCGGUGGUACCUCGUGGGAGGGCCAUCGCUCAACGGAUAAAAGCUACCUCGGGGAUAACAGGCUGAUCUCCCCCAAGAGUCCACAUCGACGGGGAGGUUUGGCACCUCGAUGUCGGCUCGUCGCAUCCUGGGGCUGAAGUAGGUCCCAAGGGUUGGGCUGUUCGCCCAUUAAAGCGGCACGCGAGCUGGGUUCAGAACGUCGUGAGACAGUUCGGUCCCUAUCCGUCGCGGGCGUAGGAAAUUUGAGAGGAGCUGUCCUUAGUACGAGAGGACCGGGAUGGACUGACCUCUGGUGUACCAGUUGUUCCGCCAGGAGCACAGCUGGGUAGCUAAGUCGGGAAUGGAUAAACGCUGAAAGCAUCUAAGCGUGAAGCCAACCUCAAGAUGAGAUUUCCCAUAGCGUAAGCUAGUAAGAUCCCUUGAAGAACACAAGGUUGAUAGGUCGGGGGUGUAAGCAUGGUAACAUGUUCAGCUGACCGAUACUAAUAGAUCGAGGGCUUGACCAA